GGGUGAUCGAGCUCCUAGGGUUCGGGCGCACGACUCAUAAUCGUGAGGUCGCGGGUUCGAGUCCCGCCUCAGCUACC
rnacentral:tRNA from 1 species